GUCGAGUCACCUGGGUCCGCAGCACUCAUUUUUCCUCCGCAGCAGGAAUCGACUCGAC
rfam:PREDICTED: Strongylocentrotus purpuratus uncharacterized LOC586069 (LOC586069), mRNA